CACAGUACACACUCUUGUAAAGGAAGCUGUUCUUGGAAGCCAGGGGUUCACCACUUCUACAGCAAAAUGAGGAAUAGCAGGAAUUCCCCGACUAGAUCUCAGCCUCUUGCAAGCAUGCUAGGAUGGCAGGAGUUAACAGCAUGACCUACUUCCCAAACUGCUGAUUCCUUGGACUCUUCAGCCAAUAAUAGCUACUAUUGUAUCUUCUAAAUUAGAGUGAACAAGAAUGAAGAUCCUCCUGGGCUGCACUGGGAAGAGCAUUGCCAGCAGGUCGAGGGAGGUGAUCCUUCCUCUCUGUUCAACCCUGGUGAAGCCACAUCUGGA